GCUAUGCUGAGUCCGAUCCUGGAAAAUAAAACGGAAAACUAAAGAUAAAAUAUGGAAAUAAUGAGCGAUGAGUACGUCUUAAGAGUUAAAAAUAAUAAGUGGCUGACAAAAAUAUAAGCAAGUAAAUGUAAACUCGAUAAAGAGCAUUGACCACGAAUUUAUAGGAGGCUGUUAUUAAAAUCGAGUGCAACGCCAGGGCUAUAGAGAGAUACAUUAAAUUUAAUCAUCGUCUACAAUCGCAUGAUGAUCGUGAGAUAAUGGUAAUCGAUAAGUUGGGCUAACGUUGGGACAAUGAUCUCCAAAUUAAAUGAGACAGAAGCGAGAAAGGGAUGCCAGUAGAUUGACGAUAUUCUAUAAUCCGAUCUUAACGUUACUUGCUUGCAAGAUUUUGUUGUGUAAAACACACGAAAAACAGGAAACUUCAGUCACGAAUGAAAAAUCAUAAUGUAGAUACGUCACAGUUAUGUUCAUGUGCGUCUUGAGAGUGACUUAGAGUUUAAGAUUUUAAAAUCUGCUUCUAAUUUUCAGCUAGCUGCUAAUUACAUGCAUUCGUAGCGAUUUUAGAAUUGCACGCAAUAAGAUUUCCUAUUUGAUAUAGAACACAGUUCCCUUUCUACCAAGUCCGUUAUCGUCCAGGCCACUUAAGCUACCAAUUAAUCAUUAAUUAGGGACAAAGAAGAUAUGUACCUCUAUACGCAUCAAUAAGACUCGAGAUUGCCUUGUGCUGCCUUAUAAGCAACUUCUUUGAUGUUUUCAAACACGCAACUUCAGGAACACUUCCAAGAACGCGCUAAAAUAUCUCGAGAAGUUGUGUACAUUUUAGAACGAACAGCUUUUCGGAUUAUUAUUAAACUUUGCAUAGAAAUAAAAAAAGAAAAGAAAUGAAAUAUAUAUAUUUUGGCAGCGAUUAAUAAAAUUUAAAAUAUUUCGUUACUUGAUGAUAAUUGUACGUAUAAAACUCGAGCGAAAAGUAUUACAUUCAGGAAAUGACCAUUCGGCUCUGUUUAAAGAGAGAUCGAAAAAUAAUCAGCUUAAUUGGCAAUGAAGAAUGCGAAUCAAGCGCGGCGCUCUUGCCGAGUUACAUUGCGAUCGUGAAAAUUGGCUGAAAACCGUGCUAACAUAAUAACAGUUAACGCACAUGACGAUGUCAUCUACUUACAUCUUCCGUUUGGAGCUGAUUAUUUCAACGCGCGAUCGAGAAGCGAAUUUAGUGUCGUAUCGCGGGAAAAGCGAUAAUUGUGCACGAUUAUAACGCGCCGGACUUGAUAAGAAAUUUAAAUAAAUUCAAAUGUUUGGUACUUUGCGAUCACGUAUCGGGAUUACUUUUUAUUUACAUCUUUACCAUACGCUCGUUCUGAUUUACAUUCAGUCUUUCCGAUACAUAUUCAUGACGUGCAUAUUGAGAUCACAGUUUGCGAGAAUCUUACGUCGAAUGUUCCAAUGGAAGUUUACUCUUGCUCCUUGAGCAACGUUCGACUCGAAUCAAGGAAAACACGAUGAUUUGCUGCAUCAUCUAAUGGCACGUAGUUAUUCACGUUACCCAGAGAACAAAACGCGGAGAGAAUCAAAGAAAUCUUUGUGGAGAAAGCGAAAGCACAAUCGCGGUUUCCCUCGAGGCUUCUUUAAUAAUUAAAUUUCUUCCAAUGAAUUUGCGCGCACAUUAUCAAUCGUAAAGUUGUACGGAAAGAAAGGCAAUGCGCGCUGACACAAAUGGAAAUUGAUGACUGAAUGCAUCUUGAUGACGCUGAUUUGCGACUAAUCUUUCUAGACUUCCGAGCUUUAAUACCGGACUGAGCUGAAUUAAUGGAAUCGUUCCUCUCGGAAGAAUGAUGCUGCGCUGUGUAAAGCACGUGAAUACCCACGUAGCACAGCAGCGUGUGCAAAGCGCUUUGAAAGCGCUAUUGAGAAUGCACCUCCCAAAACCGCUGUCAGUUACGCACUUUUUUGGCAGGUGGAUAUUUUGAUGGAUUUCGAUUCACAGUGUGCUAAAAAUGAUUUCUAAGACUAAAACGUUACUUGAAAACAUGUAAUUCACUCUGAAAAACACUUAAAAACACUUGCGUUAAUCACGCGCAUAAAAAGCACUUUGAAAGCGCACGUAGCACAGCAGCGCGUGCAAAGCGCUGUUGAGAAUGCAUCUUCUAAAAUUGCUGUGGAAAUGCAACGCAUUAAAAUAAGUAUAUAUUAAAAUACAUAAUAUUGUGUAUUA